AUGCUGGUGCCGUGCCCUGCGCCUCCCGACCUGGGGCCAAAUACACCCCUGUUCGUUCUGAAGAGACCACAGAGUCUGCCUGCGGCAGCGGACGACAGACCAAGCAGCGGUGGUGGGGGCCGGGGACGUCUCCGCAGAACUCCCGGGUCUGCAGGAAAGGCAGGAGCACGGACCAGGCGCUGCGACGGCGACAAAGCUCCUGGCCGCGAGCUGAGACCCGGGCUCACCAGCUGUCUCUGGGUCUGCCGAGGACCUCGUCCUCAGCACUGUCCACGCUGCUGUCCCCCUCGCCCAUGCCACUGUCCCCCUCGCCUGUGCCGCUGUCCACCACGCUGCUGUCCCUCGCCCACGCCGCUGUCCCUCUCAUCCACGCCGCUGUCCCCCUUGCCCACACCUCUGUCUCCCUCACCCACGCCACUGUCCCUCUCAUCCAUGCUGCUGUCUCCCACGCCCAUGCCGCUGUCUCCCUCGUCCACGCCACUGUCCCUCUCAUCCACGCCGCUGUCUCCCACGCCCACGCCGCUGUCCCCCUCACCACGCCGCUGUCUCCCACGCCCACGCCACUGUCUUCCUCAUCCACGCCGCUGUCCCCCUUGCCCACUCCUCUGUCUCCCUCACCCACGCCACUGUCCCUCUCAUCCACGCCGCUGUCUCCCACGCCCACGCCGCUGUCCCCCUCACCACGCCGCUGUCUCCCACGCCCACGCCACUGUCUUCCUCAUCCACGCCGCUGUCCCCCUUGCCCACUCCUCUGUCUCCCUCACCCACGCCACUGUCCCUCUCAUCCACGCCGCUGUCUCCCACGCCCAUGCCGCCAUCUUCCUCGUUCACGCCACUGUCCCCCUCACCACACCGCUGUCUUCCUCGUCCACGCCGCUGUCCCCCUUGCCCACGCCACUGUCUUCCUCAUCCAUGCUACUGUCCCCCUUGCCCACACCUCUGUCUCCCUCACCCACGCCACUGUCCCUCUCAUCCACGCUGCUGUCUCCCACGCCCAUGCCGCUGUCUCCCUCGUCCACGCCGCUGUCCCCCACGCCCAUGCUGCUGUCCCCCUUGCCCACACCGCUGUCCCCCACACCACUGUCCCCCUCACCCACACCUCUGUCUCCCUCAUCCACACCGCUGUCCCCCACACCACUGUCCCCCUCACCCACACCUCUGUCUCCCUCAUCCACACCGCUGUCCCCCACGCCCACACCGCUGUCUCCCACACCGCUGUCCCCCUCGUCCAUGCCACUGUCCCCCUCGCCCAUGCCUCAUCCGUUCAUCCUCCUCGUCCCCGUUGCCCCUCUGGUCUCAGCAGUCCCAUCAGCUGUGUCCAGGUGGGCUCCUGGGCGUCUCCUGUUGGCCACUGCUGGCUGUUCUGUACUUCCUGUGUGA
rnacentral:lncRNA from 1 species